rnacentral:rRNA from 1 species
UACGUAGGGGGGCUAGCGUUGUCCGGAAUCAUUGGGCGUAAAGCGCGCGUAGGCGGCCCGGUAAGUCCGUUGUGAAAGUCAAAGGCUCAACCUUUGAAAGCCGAUGGAUACUGCCGGGCUGGAGUCCGGAAGAGGCGAGUGGAAUUCCUGGUGUAGCGGUGGAAUGCGCAGAUAUCAGGAGGAACACCAAUAGCGAAGGCAGCUCGCUGGGACGGUACUGACGCUGAGGAGCGAAAGCAUGGGGAGCGAACGGG